rnacentral:rRNA from 1 species
UACGUAGGGGGCUAGCGUUGUCCGGAUUUAUUGGGCGUAAAGAGCGUGUAGGCGGCCAGGUAGGUCUGCUGUGAAAACUCGAGGCUUAACCUCGAGAUGUCGGCGGAAACCAUCUGGCUAGAGUCCGGAAGAGGAGAGCGGAAUUCCUGGUGUAGCGGUGAAAUGCGCAGAUAUCAGGAAGAACACCCGUGGCGAAGGCGGCUCUCUGGAUCGUUGCUGACGCUGAUACGCGAAAGCGUGGGGAGCAAACAGG